rnacentral:rRNA from 1 species
GGAAAAGCCGCUAUUGUUCAUACCAUACCCGUACCGUAAACCGACACAGGUGGAUGAGGAGAGAAUCCUAAGGCCGGCGGAAGAAGCAUUGUCAAGGAACUCGGCAAAAUGACCCCGUAACUUCGGGAGAAGGGGUGCCACUGAGAAGUGGCCGCAGAGAAUAGGCUCAAGCAACUGUUUAGCAAAAACACAGGUCUAUGCGAAACCGUAAGGUGAGGUAUAUGGGCUGACGCCUGCCCGGUGCUGGAAGGUUAAGAGGAGAGGUUAGCGGAAACGCGAAGCUUUGAAUUUAAGCCCCAGUAAACGGCGGCCGUAACGAUAACGGUCCUAAGGUAGCGAAAUUCCUUGUCGGGUAAGUUCCGACCCGCACGAAAGGCGUAAUGAUUUGAGCGCUGUCUCGACAAUGCAUCCGGUGAAAUUGAAGUACCAGUGAAGAUGCUGGUUACCUGCGCCAGGACGGAAAGACCCCAUGGAGCUUUACUCCAGUUUGGUACUGGGAUCCGGUACUGCAUGUACAGGAUAGGUGGGAGGCUAUGAAAUGGUAACGCCAGUUGCCAUGGAGCCGCUGUUGGGAUACCACCCUUGCAGUAUUGGGUUUCUAACCAGCCGCCGUGACCCGGCGGUGGGACAAUGCCAGACGGGGAGUUUGACUGGGGCGGUCGCCUCCGAAAGGGUAUCGGAGGCGCCCAAAGGUUCCCUCAGGAUGGACGGAAACCAUCCAAAGAGUGCAAAGGCAGAAGGGAGCUUGACUGCGACACCGACGGUUGGAGCAGGUACGAAAGUAGAGCUUAGUGAUCCGGUGGUAUUAAGUGGGAAUGCCAUCGCUCAACGGAUAAAAGCUACCCUGGGAUAACAGGCUUAUCACUCCCAAGAGUUCACAUCGACGGAGUGGUUUGGCACCUCGAUGUCGGCUCAUCGCAUCCUGGGGCUGUAGUAGGUCCCAAGGGUUGGGCUGUUCGCCCAUUAAAGCGGUACGCGAGCUGGGUUCAGAACGUCGUGAGACAGUUCGGUCCCUAUCCGGCGUGGGCCUAGGAUAUCUGAGAGGAGCUGUCCUUAGUACGAGAGGACCGGGAUGGACGGGCCGCUGGUGCACCGGUUAGACUGCCAAGUCUAUAGCCGGGUAGCCAAGCCCGGAAGGGAUAAACGCUGAAGGCAUCUAAGCGUGAAGCCCCCCUCAAGAUGAGAUAUCCCAUCCGAAAGGAGUAAACCCCCUUGAAGACGACGAGGUUGAUAGGGCAGGGGUGGAAGUGUGGUAACACAUGGAGCUGACUGCUACUAAUAGGGUGAGGGCUUGACCAA